rnacentral:rRNA from 1 species
GUCCACGCCCUAAACUAUGUCAACUAGCCGUUGGGAUCAUUGAAGGUCUUAGUGGCGCAGCUAACGCGAUAAGUUGACCGCCUGGGGAGUACGGCCGCAAGGUUAAACUCAAAGGAAUUGACGGGGCCCGCACAAGCGGUGGAGCAUGUGGUUUAAUUCGAAGAUACGCGAAGAACCUUACCUAGACUUGACAUCCCCUGGCAAAGUCGUGGAAACACGAUGGAGGUUAUCCAGGUGACAGGUGGUGCAUGGUUGUCGU